GUGGCGAACGGGUGAGUAAUGCAUCGGAACGUACCGUGUGAUGGGGGAUAACUAACCGAAAGGUUGGCUAAUACCGCAUACGCCCUGAGGGGGAAAGAGGGGGAUCGCAAGACCUCUUGUCAUACGAGCGGCCGAUGUCGGAUUAGCUAGUUGGUGAGGUAAAGGCUCACCAAGGCAACGAUCCGUAGCGGGUCUGAGAGGACGACCCGCCACACUGGGACUGAGACACGGCCCAGACUCCUACGGGAGGCAGCAGUGGGGAAUCUUGGACAAUGGGCGCAAGCCUGAUCCAGCAAUGCCGCGUGGGUGAAGAAGGCCUUCGGGUUGUAAAGCCCUUUUGUCAGGGAGCAAAUCCUUGGACUUAAUACGUCCCGGGGAUGAGAGUACCUGAAGAAUAAGGACCGGCUAACUACGUGCCAGCAGCCGCGGUAAUACGUAGGGUCCAAGCGUUAAUCGGAAUUACUGGGCGUAAAGCGUGCGCAGGUGGCUUGUUAAGAUCGAUGUGAAAUCCCCGGGCUCAACCUGGGAACUGCAUUGAUGACUGGCUCGCUAGAGUACGGCAGAGGGGGGGUGGAAUUCCACGUGUAGCAGUGAAAUGCGUAGAGAUGUGGAGGAACACCGAUGGCGAAGGCAACCCCCUGGGCUGAUACUGACACUCAUGCACGAAAGCGUGGGGAGCAAA
rnacentral:rRNA from 1 species